rnacentral:rRNA from 1 species
GAUUGAACGCUGGCGGCAUGCUUUACACAUGCAAGUCGAACGGCAGCACAGGGAGCUUGCUCCUGGGUGGCGAGUGGCGCACGGGUGAGUAAUACAUCGGAACGUGUCCUAUCGUGGGGGAUAACUGAGCGAAAGCUCGGCUAAUACCGCAUAAGACCUGAGGGUGAAAGUGGGGGAUCGAAAGACCUCAUGCGAUUGGAGCGGCCGAUGCCCGAUUAGCUAGUUGGUGAGGUAAAGGCUCACCAAGGCGACGAUCGGUAGCUGGUCUGAGAGGACGACCAGCCACACUGGGACUGAGACACGGCCCAGACUCCUACGGGAGGCAGCAGUGGGGAAUUUUGGACAAUGGGGGCAACCCUGAUCCAGCCAUGCCGCGUGCAGGAUGAAGGUCUUCGGAUUGUAAACUGCUUUUGUCAGGGAAGAAAAGGUACGUGCUAAUACCACGUACUGCUGACGGUACCUGAAGAAUAAGCACCGGCUAACUACGUGCC